GCAUAUCAAUAAGCGGAGGAAAAGAAACCAACAGGGAUUGCCCCAGUAACGGCGAGUGAAGCGGCAAGAGCUCAAAUUUGAAAGCUGGCCCCCUCGGGGUCCGCAUUGUAAUUUGCAGAGGAUGCUUCGGGAGCGGUCCCCAUCUAAGUACCCUGGAACGGGUCGUCAUAGAGGGUGAGAAUCCCGUAUGGGAUGGGGUGUCCGCGCCCGUGUGAAGCUCCUUCGACGAGUCGAGUUGUUUGGGAAUGCAGCUCUAAAUGGGUGGUAAAUUUCAUCUAAAGCUAAAUAUUGGCCGGAGACCGAUAGCGCACAAGUAGAGUGAUCGAAAGAUGAAAAGCACUUUGAAAAGAGAGUUAAAAAGCACGUGAAAUUGUUGAAAGGGGAAGCGCUUGCGACCAGACUCGCCCACGGGGUUCAGCCGGCAUUCGUGCCGGUGUACUUCCCCGCGAGCGGGCCAGCGUCGGUUUGGGCGGCCGGUCAAAGGCCCUCGGAAUGUAACGCCCCUCGGGGCGUCUUAUAGCCGAGGGUGCCAUGCGGCCUGCCCGGACCGAGGAACGCGCUUCGGCUCGGACGCUGGCAUAAUGGUCGUAAGCGACCCGUCUUGAAACACGGACCAAGGAGUCUAACAUCUACGCGAGUGUUCGGGUGUCAAACCCGUGCGCGCAGUGAAAGCGAACGGAGGUGGGAACCCUUACGGGUGCACCAUCGACCGAUCCUGAUGUCUUCGGAUGGAUUUGAGUAAGAGCGUAGCUGUUGGGACCCGAAAGAUGGUGAACUAUGCCUGAAUAGGGCGAAGCCAGAGGAAACUCUGGUGGAGGCUCGCAGCGGUUCUGACGUGCAAAUCGAUCGUCAAAUUUGGGUAUAGGGGCGAAAGACUAAUCGAACCAUCUAGUAGCUGGUUCCUGCCGA
rnacentral:rRNA from 1 species